UGCUAUUUUUUUUUUUUUUGGAUAAAAACAUUUGUUAUCCUUCUGAUCUUCUUAACUGCCUGUUCUCUGAUUGAUAGUUAUAAAAUUAAUCAAAAUGUUAUUACCCAAAAAAAGGUUGUUGGAGUUUUCUGCUUGAAGAAUAGAAAUUGAUGAUUAUUCUCUGGAUUGAUGCCUUAAAAUGAGAAGUGAUUACUCUUUUUCUUUUAGCCAUAGGUUAUCAUAACCAGGGUAGGUAAGGGUAGGUAAUUACAAAUUUGGAGAAAUAUCCAAGUCCAUUGCCUUUAAAAGAUCAUAUCUUGGGCCUAUCUAAUAAAAUUUCAUAUAUAAUAUGUGAAACCUUUUGUUGCAGGUGUUUACCAAGUAAGCAUAGA
rnacentral:misc_RNA from 1 species